AGUCACUUAAUUAUCUCAUUAACUUUAACUCUUUGAAAGUCCCACCUCUGCUCAAUUGAUUAAAAACUAGGACUCGACACUGGACUCGGAUACAACACUGCCUAGAAUGCAGAGUAAUUAAUGAAAAUUAAGUUGAAGGAACGUUUCAGGAACAUCAAUACUAACCUUAAAAAAGAAAACGUUCCACUAACAUUAAGAAAACUGGACACAUAGAAUGUUCCCAUAACCAAAACCAUAACCAAAAAAAUGUUUUUAAAACAUUCUUAUAACUCAAAAUUGUUAGCUGGGAUACUUUUUUGGAUGAACCAACCCUUUAAUACGAUGACACUGACUCCUGCCCUGGCCAGAUUUAAUGAAUCUUUUUAUUUCAUUUUGUAGCGCUCCCCUGUUCCCGCUAGUUUUGUGGAGUACACCGUUCAGGAAUGCUCAGUCGCUCCAUUCCCUGAGGUUCAGUGUGAGCCAGGACAUGAAGGUAAAGAGCCUGUUGGGUUCUGUAUCGGGGAGGUUUUUGGCCACGGCCAGCAAGAUGUGAAGGUGUCCUGUGAAAUAUUUCGCCCACAGGUGCAUGUUAUCACUCCGACACAGCAAGAGGACAAGUUUUCCAAAACUACAACCCACAACGCUCAUGUUCCUCAUAUCCAUAAGCCCUCAUUCCAAGAUGUUGGAGCAGUAACACCUCAGCUAGCUGACCCCGUGUAUCAGGUCAUCCCUGCUGGACCUGGAUCACUCCCAGCAUCAGACUCCACCGUUCCCACCUCUUCCAGCGAAUCCACUGAAUCUUCCGAGUCUGACUCAUCCGAGGAAGCAGGCGGCUCUGUUCGCGCCGUCAAACCUCCGCUGAACUUCCGUUCGUGCCACGCCGUCAGAGGAGGCAGAUACCCACAAGCACCUCACCUCCUCAUUCACCUGUGUUCCUGAGCAUCUUCCCCAGCGUCCCGUCUCCGUUCCGCUCCUGUCCGGGGGUCUCUCGCUACACCACUGUCUAGAGAGCCUUUAGUCACAACAUUUACAAUUCAGGUCAAUGGAACACUUUGAGAAAGGUCUCAGAUGUGUAAUUUAUAAAGUGUUCAGAUCAAAUGUGAUACUUAACAGUUCUCUUAUAAAGCCUUCUCAAAACCAGCAAAGAAAUAUUUAAUUCUACUUUCUUUGAAUCUCAUUCCAAAUCUCUUUAAACCUCUGAUAAUGUUAUAUAUUAAUGUUAUGAAAAUGUUAAUUGCAAUUAUGCACAAAAUACAAACAUGUGUCAUUAGCAGGAAACGGUGAUGUUUAUGUACCAUGUUUCCAAAUGAAACUGAACUCAGUUAUACUUGAGAACCUUUCAAAUAAACCAUUAAUUCAA